GAUGAACGCUGGCGGCGUGCCUAACACAUGCAAGUCGAGCGAACGGACAAGGAGCUUUCCCCUCUGACUUUAGCGGCGCACGGGUGAGUGACAUGUCUAUAACCCACCUUGAAGACUGGGAUUAACUCGUGAAAACGGUGCCAAUUACGGCUUAUCUAUUCAACCGCAAGGUUCAAGAGUUUAAGACGGUUUUGCUUUCACUUAUACAUGGAUCCGCACCGCAUUAGCUAGUUGGUAGGGUAACGGCUUACCAAGGCGACGAUGCGUAGCCGACCUGAGAGGAUGAUCAGCCACACUGGAACUGAGACACGGUCCAGACUCCUACGGGAGGCAGCAGUAGGGAAUAUUGCGCAAUGGGCGAAAGCCUGACGGAGCAACGCCGCGUGAGUGAAGAAGGUCUUCGGAUCGUAAAACUCUGUUAUUGGGGAGGAAGGAAGGUAGAAGAAACUAUGCACGUAUUGACGGUACCUGAACAGAAAGCCACGGCUAACUACGUG
rnacentral:rRNA from 1 species